GGGGAAGGGUAGCUUGCUACCUGACCUAGCGGCGGACGGGUGAGUAAUGCUUAGGAAUCUGCCUAUUAGUGGGGGACAACAUUCCGAAAGGAAUGCUAAUACCGCAUACGCCCUACGGGGGAAAGCAGGGGAUCUUCGGACCUUGCGCUAAUAGAUGAGCCUAAGUCAGAUUAGCUAGUUGGUGGGGUAAAGGCCUACCAAGGCGACGAUCUGUAGCGGGUCUGAGAGGAUGAUCCGCCACACUGGGACUGAGACACGGCCCAGACUCCUACGGGAGGCAGCAGUGGGGAAUAUUGGACAAUGGGCGAAAGCCUGAUCCAGCCAUGCCGCGUGUGUGAAGAAGGCCUUUUGGUUGUAAAGCACUUUAAGCGAGGAGGAGGCUACUGAGAUUAAUACUCUUGGAUAGUGGACGUUACUCGCAGAAUAAGCACCGGCUAACUUUGUGCCAGCAGCCGCGGUAAUACAGAGGGUGCGAGCGUUUAUUGGAUUUACUGGGCCGU
rnacentral:rRNA from 1 species